GCGUCAGUGGUGUAGUGGUAGCAAGCGCCUCCGUCAAGGGCGAAACGCGGGUUCAAUUCCCGGCUGGAGUA